CUCUCCCACUCGCGCCAGCCCCUCUCCUCUUCCCCCCGACUCGCCUCUCUCCCCCUGGUCCAAACCCUAGGCCCACGCCCGCCGCCGCCGCCGCUCGCCCAGGCCAUCCUCCCGCUAUGAAGGAAGCGGCCAGAGAGGAAGGGCGUCGCUGGGUGUGCGCGUGCCUCCGCGGAUUCGCUCCGCGGUUGCCGGUGGCGUGGACGCCGUGGGUCAACCGCGCCAAGGAGGAUGGGGGCGCCACAAGCCUCAUCGGAGGUCGCCGCCGCUCGCCCGGGCACCCAUCCACGACCACACACUACCCUAGAAGAAGAUUGGGGCUGCGGGCGAUGAGGUCGACGCCCCGUCGUCCCGUCUUCUGCGAGCUCGAUGUGCGCGGCCUCGGGGGCGCGGCGGACGGUGCCGCCAAGGACAUGUUGGAGGCCAGACCGUGCGCGCGGCCGAGGAGCACCAGCAGUAGGCACUCGAUGCGGCGCUCCCCCCGUCACUCCUCCUUCUACGUCCGCUGCAGGUGCUCCCCCGUCGCCCCUCCUUCUCCUUCAUCCUCAGGAGAGGAUCGGCUGCAGGAGACGAACAUGCUGUGUUGGGAUGGAGGAGAAGGGCAUGGGGAUGUUAGUCACCAGUGACAAGCCUGCCCAGAUCUACUUCUCCACAGAGGCUUGAUGUACAUAUCCAUGACUACUUGCUCAAGUGAAAUAUCAAAAUUGCCAACAUGUUCCUGGUACAGGGGGAGAUGCUUCAUAAAAAAAAAAGGGCAACCUGGUGCAUGUAGCUCCCGCUUGCGCAGGGUCCAGGGAAGGGUCCGACCACUUUGGGUCUAUAGUACGCAGCCUUUCCCUACAUUUCUGUAAGAGGCUGUUUCCAGGACUUGAACCCAUGACCUCAUGGUCACAAGGCAGCAGCUUUACCACUGCGCCAAGGCUCCCCUUCGGGGAGAUGCUUCAUGAAUCCUUCAAUUUGUAAGUACCAUUGUUGCUUCUGUUUAGUAUGCUUCAAGUUUGGAAGAUUGACAAAAUGUGGCCAGCUUGCUCUAGGGCUUUAAGAUUGGAAGAUGCAAAAACAUGAAGCAAUUUAUUCAGUUGUUUUUCUGUUUGCAUAGUGGUCCACAAGGCAGAUUAUCUUUAUCUCAAUAUGCACACAAAAGCUGAUCUUAAAUGGUUUGGUUAAUGCCAGAUUUCUUUGGUGACAUGAUUUUGGAGGUUUAGUUCAGUUUAAAAGAAAAUGCCAUGUGACUUUUAUUAUUGAUGUCUAGAUUAGAGAUCAUAUGCAAAUAAUCUUUUUCAAUUGAUAUGAUAAUUUACAGUAGAUAAAUGUUAUUAGCUCUAUACUAUGGAUUAUUUCCCAUGAUUUUUGGGUCUGGUUGGCAUAGUGAUAUUAUCUUACAACUAUCCCUUCCUACCUAUAAGUAUAAUGUCUGUCCAGAUCUUGCACUAAGCCAUUAUUUAUGAAGACUUGCCUUUGGAAAAAUUUAUAAAAUUCUUUGUGCUAGCUAACUUUGCUUAUCCAGAUUGCAUUGACAUAGUGUUCGAUCUUGCCUUCUGUUGUUACUAAUGCAAGUUGCAAUGUCAGUUUAGUCUAAUGCAACCAAGAUGAAUGUGCAUCAGUCUGGAACUGAGAUUCUCAAUAUUCACAUUGUCGAUAACAAGGUACCUAACUAUGUAUAUAGUGAAGUCUACUUCUUUUGUCCUUCCUGUUGUUAAUAGCUUUUGCAUCGCUAUUAGCCAAUCAGCAGGAUUUGAAUCAUUAUAUGAGUGCAAGGAGAUUUCAUGUGUCAUGUAAAUUGUAAGUUAUGUAUGGCUUGGUUAUUGCAGUUUUGGGUUGGGUUGCGAGCACCUCAUCUACUCAACAUCAGCUAUACUUGAUGUGUACUUGCAUAUAUGUAUCUGCCACAUAUUAUGAUACUAACGACACUUUCCUGCUACCUCGGUACUUCAGUAUGGUACAACUUUUCUGAAAAGUAAUAAGGUAAAUUAGUCAUUGUUUUGUUUGACCACGCGGAGGGCGCGCAUCCGGCUCUCGAACCCUAGAAAUUCCAGUUUCUGUUUCUUCUUCCAUCUUUAUCUUUUUUUCCUUUCUCUUCACCUGAUUGACACUAAUUUGUUUGUAUGCUUUCUUAUUUGUUUUGCAAGUACAGAUCAUGGUGUUGAUUGCUGACUCGCCUUUCAACAAGCAGUGCAGAUUUCUUGGGUGUUCAGGAGUUUGAUUCAAUACUUGAUGGCCUCAAAAUGGAUACAGGAUCUGUUGGAAUCAAGAAGGCAUUAAGAGCUCAGGUUCGAGGACAAGGCCAACCUCAUGCAGUUGAUUAAGAAUACGCUACAGGGUUUGGUGGUCCAGCACAUCGAGUGCUCGAGAGCCUGGAGCCAAGGUCAGGAAGCGCGUUGAGGCGCUCCAAAAUAUAUCCAGGUGCUACUCAAUUCGUUAGUUGCAUCUGAUUAUGCGCUAGACAACACAACAAUUUGAUUGUGAAUCUAUUCUGGUGCAGAGUCGUUCGAUGCUUGCACCGUUGUAAUUACUUUGGCUACUUCCAGUGCUGAUCAAGAGCAGGGACAACAGAUCAUGUAUCCUUUGCUUCAUGAACUAAUGUUCUAAAUUCUUCAAGCGGCGAGGCACACAUGCCUUUUAGUUGAGACCUAUUGGACCAUAGUUAUAUACAUCCAUUAGCAGUACUAUCGCAAAGCCAGUUGAUGCUAGGUGUGCUUGAAGAUGUUUCACUCCAUGGAUCAAUAGAGUACAAUGGCUUUGUCUACACUUAUCUUUAAGGCUACAACCCGGAGUCUCAUGGAGGUGUGAAGAUGAUACCCAAGUAAUCUAGGACACUAAUUUGUUACGGUUCACUUGUGUACAAGAAUGCCAUGUUCUUUCCCAUGUAAUAUAUUGUCAUUUUUUUGUUUAACAAUUAACAUCAUCUAGACUAUGUUUCUUUCUAUGGUAGUAAACAUCAUCCAGCUUUUUGGUUUGGAUCUGAGCGCUGGACCAUGGUGAUGGAGACUGCUCUUUGAAAUUCCAAUACACUAGCAGAAAGAAGCAAAAGUUGAGGACCAGGUUGUUCUGAGUAUAUUUGUCACAACAAGUAUGAUUUGGUAUGUCAUCUUAUAUUUCAUAUGAAAUUUGCCAAUGGUGUGUGAUGAAUCUUGAUGUUUUCUAUCCUUUAUAUGGAUAAGCUGUAAACUUUGUUUUAGAUUAGUACUUCCUCUCUCAUGUUUGCUUUCUUAGUACUGAACUUAGAGUCAAGUGGUUACCUUUUGUGGUCUGAUGAAAGCAUUGAAUCUCAUGAUGAUGUUGAAGUCACAUGAUGUUUUGUUUC